rnacentral:tRNA from 1 species
ACUAUUUUGGCAGAAGUAAGUGUAACAGAUUUAGAAUCUGUGAAUAUGAUUAUUAUCA